rnacentral:rRNA from 1 species
CACGCCGUAAACGAUGUCAACUAGCCGUUGGAAUCCUUGAGAUUUUAGUGGCGCAGCUAACGCAUUAAGUUGACCGCCUGGGGAGUACGGCCGCAAGGUUAAAACUCAAAUGAAUUGACGGGGGCCCGCACAAGCGGUGGAGCAUGUGGUUUAAUUCGAAGCAACGCGAAGAACCUUACCAGGCCUUGACAUGCAGAGAACUUUCCAGAGAUGGAUUGGUGCCUUCGGGAACUCUGACACAGGUGCUGCAUGGCUGUCGUUAGCUCGUGUCGUGAGAUGUUGGGUUAAGUCCCGUAACGAGCGCAACCCUUGUCCUUAGUUACCAGCACGUUAUGGUGGGCACUCUAAGGAGACUGCCGGUGACAAACCGGAGGAAGGUGGGGAUGACGUCGAGUCAUCAUGGCCCUUACGGCCUGGGCUACACACGUGCUACAAUGGUCGGUACAGAGGGUUGCCAAGCCGCGAGGCGGAGCUAAUCUCACAAAACCGAUCGUAGUCCGGAUCGCAGUCUGCAACUCGACUGCGUGAAGUCGGAAUCGCUAGUAAUCGCGAAUCAGAAUGUCGCGGUGAAUACGUUCCCGGGCCUUGUACACACCGCCCGUCACACCAUGGGAGUGGGUUGCACCGGAAGUAGCUAGUCUAACCUUCGGGAGGACGGUUACCACGGUGUGAUUCAUGACUGGGGCGAAGUCGUAACAAGGUAGCCGUAGGGGAACCUGCGGCUGGAUC